GACAGAGGAGCCAAGCGUUGUCCGGAUUGACUGGGCGUAAAGCGCACGCAGGCGGCUGUGCACGUGGGGUGUGAAAGCUGGCGGCUUAACUGCCAGACGCCACCUCAUACGGCACGGCUCGAGCCCGUGAGAGGUCCACGGAAUUGCCGGUGUAGUGGUGAAAUGCGUAGAGAUCGGCAGGAACACCCAGGGGGAAACCAGUGGACUGGCACGGUGCUGACGCUCAGGUGCGAAAGCGUGGGGAGCAAACAGG
rnacentral:rRNA from 1 species